UGGAGACACAGGAAGGGGCUAGAGCAGUGGAAAGGACAACAGAGCAUAUCAUGUCAUCAAAACAGGGCAAGGAAACCCAGGACAAAAGCGUUCCCACACAAGAUAUUUCCUAAAAGAAGCCGGGAGCAGAGUCAGAAGACUACAAAGCAACGCUUAGACUUGUUAGCAUGAAAAAAGGUUUUGGAAGUGGGUGUACAAGAAGUAGACUAAUGAGACGUCUAUGCUGAGGAAAGAAGAUUACAGAGAGACUAUGGGCAUUGCUAGGCUUUGUGAUACGAAGUUGAAAUGCCUGGAUCCAUCCAGCCUAACAAGCGGUAUCUACAUAACAGUGGACAACUUCUGGAAUGUUGGAGAGAGGCUCUGAAAUACCUUCCUGCACUUGACCAACACCACCAUACUGCACGCAGGGCAGAGAUCUGUUACAUCCCAGGAGUCAGUCUCUCUGCUGCUGACCAGGAAGUGAUGAGUGGAUCACUCCCAGCUCUAAGAUUCCUAACACUCAAGGCUAUGCCUUUCUUCCCCAUUAAAAUACGAUUCAAGUCUCUCAGUAAGCACUUGCUUAACAUUUUACUCCCACAUCUCACAUUUGUAAAUGGGCCCGCUGUUGCAGAACAUCCUAAGAAAGCUAUGCAUAUUUUUUUUACUGUAGUACCAAUCGUGAGAUACCUCACAUUUCAGAAGAUUGGUGGUUUUCUUUUUACAUAAAACUCAUUCUUAGCCACAAAAAUUUGGGGGCAUCCUAUAAAGCAAAGCCAGAUCUUCAUCUUCUAGCCCUGGCCCAUAGCUGGCUUUUAGCUCCUGGUUCUCCCAGUACAAGAUUUUGUUUUUGUUUUUUUGGUUUUAAUUCAGAGAAACACAGUUUUGAAAAAAUAAAGAUUUCACGUAAGGACCCAAUUCCGAGGCAAAAAAUGAGCACUGGCGUCAUUCUAACUGGAUAACUCUAGCAUGCAUGAAGUUUUCAGGUCACCAGCCCUACACUGUGAAGUCUUUCAACAAAUUCGAUUCCAUCACUGUUACAGGAAGUGCAAGACUUUUUUCCUAGGGAGAAAAGGGCUGGAAAUUAAAUGGUCUUGAUUUGCAAACCCUUUAACAACACUAAGAAUCAACCUGACACAGUCUCAGACAACAGCAGGACAACAAUUACAUAUCAGGUGCCCAGUGUUCUCACUGUAGAGCUUCAAUGUCAGGGCCAAGAGAGGCCACAUGCUGAUUACAUGUGCUUUCAGGAAAGCGAAAUUAAAUGACUUGAUGUGCAACAGUGCACUCUGGGAACACUUUCAGGCAUGGGCAUAAGCUGUGUCAUCCACAAGCUCAGUAAACAGGGUGGCAGAGUCUGCAGUAAGUACACACAA